AAGACUAUACUUUCAGGGAUCAUUUCUAUAGUUCGUUACUAGAGAAGUUUCUCUGAUCGUGUAGAGUACCGGAAACCACGAGGAGGAGGCGAAGUGUUCCCUUCUGAGCGUGAAGCUGGCAUUUGGUGUUGCUUUAUAGCAACUGCCGCUUGUCAUUGAUGAUCGUUCUUCUCUUCUUUUUGGAGAGUAAGAGGGAGGGAACACAGUCUGAGUGGUU
ensembl:snoRNA